GCCGGGCAUGGUGGUGCAUGCCUGUAAUCCCAGCUACUCGGGAGGCUAAGGUAGGAGAAUCGCUUGAACCCGGGAGGCGGAGGUUGCAGUGAGCCAAGAUCAUGCCACUGCACUCCAGCCUGGGUGACAGAGCGAGACUCCAUCUCAA
ensembl:misc_RNA Metazoa_SRP Metazoan signal recognition particle RNA